GACGAACGCUGGCGGCGUGCUUAACACAUGCAAGUCGAACGGUGAAGCGCCUUCCUUUUUGGUGGGUGUGGAUGCGUGGCGAACGGGUGAGUAACACGAGACUAACCUGCCCCCUUCUUCUGGAUAACCGCAUGAAAGUGUGUCUAAUACGGGAUAUCCUGGGUCUUUCGCUUGAUUGGUCUGUGUAAGAUCUUGGUUCGGUGGUGGAUGGGCUCGGGGCCUAUCAGCUUGUUGGGGGGGUGAUGGCCUACCAAGGCGGUGAGGGGAAGCCGGCCUGGGAGGGUAGACGGUCUCACAGGGACAGCGACACGGCGGAGACUCCUACGGGAGGCAGAGGUGGAGGGUAUUGCGCAAUGGGGACAAGCGUGCUGAAGAGACACGGCGGGUGGAGUGGGGGCGUGCGCGUGAUGAACCUCUUCCGCUAGUGAAGCAGGCCUGCCUCGUUUGUGGGUGGAUUGACGGUAGCUGGAUAAGAAGCGCCGGCUAACUACGUG
rnacentral:rRNA from 1 species